rnacentral:rRNA from 2 species
UAGGANCUUCCGCAUGGNGAAAUUUUNCCCNACACGCCGCGUGAGUGAUGCAAGGCUUUCGGGUCGUAAAACUCUGUUGUUAGGGAAGAACAAGUGCUAGUUGAAUAAGCUGGCACCUUGACGGUACCUAACCAGAAAGCCAAGGGUAANUACGUGCCACCAGCCGCGGUAAUACGUAGGUGGCAAGCGUUAUCCGGAAUUAUUGGGCGUAAAGCGCGCGCAGGUGGUUUCUUAAGUCUGAUGUGAAAGCCCACGGCUCAACCGUGGAGGGUCAUUGGAAACUGGGAGACUUGAGUGCACAAGAGGAAAGUGGAAUUCCAUGUGUAGCGGUGAAAUGCGUAUAGAUAUGGAGGAACACCCGUGGCGAAGGCGACUUUCUGGUCUGUAACUGACACUGAGGCNGCGAAAGCGUUGGGGGAGCAAACAGGAUUAGAUACCCUGGUNAUUCCACGCCGUAAACCAUGAGUGCUAAGUGUUANAGGGUUUCCGCCCUUUACUGCUGAACUUUACCCCAUUANCCNCUCCCCCUGGGGAGUNCNGCCNCCAAGGCNUGAAACUCCAAGAAUUNGACGGGGCCCCGCCCAANCGG